rnacentral:snoRNA from 1 species
ACAUGGUGUCCCAUGCCAAAGCAAACUGCAAUCCUGAACCACUGCCUGGCUUUACCCUGCGGGCUUCAGGCACUGAAGCGGGUUGCAUAGUU